UCCAGUGGUAAACGCACAUCUAAUGCACCAGAUCCCAAUGGAACGAACACUAAAGUUAAGCAACGUUGCUUGCCGCUGGUAUUCGGAUGGGUGACCAUCAGGACAGUUGUCUGACCUUGGGCU
rnacentral:rRNA from 1 species